UACGUAGGGGGCAAGCGUUGUCCGGAUUUAUUGGGCGUAAAGAGCGUGUAGGCGGCUAGGUAGGUCCGUUGUGAAAACUCGAGGCUCAACCUCGAGACGUCGAUGGAAACCAUCUAGCUAGAGUCCGGAAGAGGAGAGUGGAAUUCCUGGUGUAGCGGUGAAAUGACGCAGAUAUCAGGAGGAACACCGGUGGCGAAGGCGGGUCUCUGGGCCGAUACUGACGCUGGAGGAGCGAAAGCCGUGGGGGAGCGAACAGG
rnacentral:rRNA from 1 species